ACACUCCUACGGGAGGCAGCAGUGGGGAAUAUUGGACAAUGGGCGCAAGCCUGAUCCAGCCAUGCCGCGUGAGUGAUGAAGGCCCUAGGGUUGUAAAGCUCUUUCACCGGAGAAGAUAAUGACGGUAUCCGGAGAAGAAGCCCCGGCUAACUUCGUGCCAGCAGCCGCGGUAAUACGAAGGGGGCUAGCGUUGUUCGGAAUUACUGGGCGUAAAGCGCACGUAGGCGGAUCGAUCAGUCAGGGGUGAAAUCCCAGGGCUCAACCCUGGAACUGCCUUUGAUACUGUCGAUCUGGAGUAUGGAAGAGGUGAGUGGAAUUCCGAGUGUAGAGGGGAAAUUCGUAGAUAUUCGGAGGAACACCAGUGGCGAAGGCGGCUCACUGGUCCAUUACUGACGCUGAGGUGCGAAAGCGUGGGGAGCAAACAGGAUUAGAUACCCCUGUAGUCCCAUGA
rnacentral:rRNA from 1 species